rnacentral:rRNA from 1 species
GAUGAACGCUGGCGGCGUGCCUAAUACAUGCAAGUCGAGCGAACAGACGAGGAGCUUGCUCCUCUGACGUUAGCGGCGGACGGGUGAGUAACACGUGGAUAACCUACCUAUAAGACUGGGAUAACUUCGGGAAACCGGAGCUAAUACCGGAUAAUAUAUUGAACCGCAUGGUUCAAUAGUGAAAGACGGUUUUGCUGUCACUUAUAGAUGGAUCCUCGCCGCAUUAGCUAGUUGGUAAGGUAACGGCUUACCAAGGCGACGAUGCGUAGCCGACCUGAGAGGGUGAUCGGCAACACUGGAACUGAGACACGGUCCAGAAACCUACGGGAGGCAGCAGUAGGGAAUAGUACGAAAAGGGCGAAAGCAUGAGGAAGAAAGGCCGCGGGAGAGAUGAAGGUCUGCGGAUCGUAAAACACUGUUAUUAGGGAAGAACAAAUGUGUAAGUAACUAUGCACGUGUUGACGGUACCUAAUCAGAAAGCAACGGCUAACUACGUG